rnacentral:rRNA from 1 species
ACUGUUCAGAUAGCCAUGCAUGUCUCAGUAUAAGCUUCUAUACGGCGAAACUGCGAAUGGCUCAUUUAAAAGUUAUAGUUUAUUUGGUGGUCAGCAAUUACAUGGAUAACCGUGGUAAUUCUAGAGCUAAUACAUGCGCCCAAACCCGACUUCGUGGAAGGGUUGUGUUUACUAGAUACAGAACCAACCCAGGCUCCGCCUGGCCUUGAGGUGAUUCAUAAUAACCGAACGAAUCGCAUGGCUAUGCCGGCGAUAGACCAUUCAAGUUUCUGACCUAUCAGCUAUCGUCGGUAGGGUAUUGGCCUACCGUGGCAAUGACGGGUAACGGAGAAUUAGGGUUCGAUUCCGGAGAGGGAGCCUGAGAAACGGCUACCACAUCUAAGGAAGGCAGCAGGCGCGCAAAUUACCCAAUCCUGACGCAGGGAGGUAGUGACAAGAAAUAACAAUACAGGGCAUACAUGUCUUGUAAUUGGAAUGAGUAAACUUUAAAUCACUUUACG